CCUACGGGUGGCUGCAGUGGGGAAUAUUGGACAAUGGGCGAAAGCCUGAUCCAGCCAUGCCGCGUGUGUGAAGAAGGCCUUCGGGUUGUAAAGCACUUUCAGUGGGGAAGAAAGCCUUGGGGCUAAUACCCUCGAGGAAGGACAUCACCCACAGAAGAAGCACCGGCUAACUCCGUGCCAGCAGCCGCGGUAAUACGGAGGGUGCGAGCGUUAAUCGGAAUUACUGGGCGUAAAGCGCGCGUAGGCGGUCUGAUAAGCCGGUUGUGAAAGCCCCGGGCUCAACCUGGGAACGGCAUCCGGAACUGUCAGGCUAGAGUGCAGGAGAGGAAGGAAGAAUUCCCGGUGUAGCGGUGAAAUGCGUAGAGAUCGGGAGGAAUACCAGUGGCGAAGGCGGCCUUCUGGACUGACACUGACGCUGAGGUGCGAAAGCGUGGGUAGCAAACAGGAUUAGAUACCCUAGUAGUC
rnacentral:rRNA from 1 species